rnacentral:pre_miRNA from 1 species
AGUGUGAUUUCUGGAUCAUGUGGUAAGUCUAUUUGUAUUUUUUUUGAGAAAACUUAAUGUUUUCCAUAGUGACUGUACCUUUUACAUUCCCACUAGUAGU